rnacentral:rRNA from 1 species
UUCGCCCUUAGAGUUUGAUCCUGGCUCAGGACGAACGCUGGCGGCGCGCCUAACACAUGCAAGUCGAACGGAGCUUAGAGAGCUUGCUUUUUAAGCUUAGUGGCGAACGGGUGAGUAACGCGUGAGUAACCUGCCCUAGAGUGGGGGACAACAGUUGGAAACGACUGCUAAUACCGCAUAAGCCCACGGCACCGCAUGGUACUGAGGGAAAAGGAUUUAUUCGCUUUAGGAUGGACUCGCGUCCAAUUAGCUAGUUGGUGAGGUAACGGCCCACCAAGGCGACGAUUGGUAGCCGGACUGAGAGGUUGAACGGCCACAUUGGGACUGAGACACGGCCCAGACUCCUACGGGAGGCAGCAGUGGGGGAUAUUGCACAAUGGGGGAAACCCUGAUGCAGCGACGCCGCGUGGAGGAAGAAGGUUUUCGGAUUGUAAACUCCUGUCGUUAGGGACGAUAAUGACGGUACCUAACAAGAAAGCACCGGCUAACUACGUGCCAGCAGCCGCGGUAAAACGUAGGGUGCAAGCGUUGUCCGGAAUUACUGGGUGUAAAGGGAGCGCAGGCGGGAAGGCAAGUUGGAAGUGAAAACCAUGGGCUCAACCCAUGAAUUGCUUUCAAAACUGUUUUUCUUGAGUAGUGCAGAGGUAGAUGGAAUUCCCGGUGUAGCGGUGGAAUGCGUAGAUAUCGGGAGGAACACCAGUGGCGAAGGCGGUCUACUGGGCACCAACUGACGCUGAGGCUCGAAAGCAUGGGUAGCAAACAGGAUUAGAUACCCUGGUAGUCCAUGCCGUAAACGAUGAUUACUAGGUGUUGGGGGAUUGACCCCCUCAGUGCCGCAGUUAACACAAUAAGUAAUCCACCUGGGGAGUACGACCGCAAGGUUGAAACUCAAAGGAAUUGACGGGGGCCCGCACAAGCAGCGGAGCAUGUGGCUUAAUUCGAAGCAACGCGAAGAACCUUACCAGGGCUUGACAUAUGGGUGAAGCGGGGGAGACCCCGUGGCCGAGAGGAGCCCAUACAGGUGGUGCAUGGCUGUCGUCAGCUCGUGUCGUGAGAUGUUGGGUUAAGUCCCGCAACGAGCGCAACCCCCGCCGCGUGUUGCCAUCGGGUGAUGCCGGGAACCCACGCGGGACCGCCGCCGUCAAGGCGGAGGAGGGCGGGGACGACGUCAAGUCAUCAUGCCCCUUAUGCCCUGGGCUGCACACGUGCUACAAUGGCCGGUACAGAGGGAUGCCACCCCGCGAGGGGGAGCGGAUCCCGGAAAGCCGGCCCCAGUUCGGAUUGGGGGCUGCAACCCGCCCCCAUGAAGUCGGAGUUGCUAGUAAUCGCGGAUCAGCAUGCCGCGGUGAAUGCGUUCCCGGGCCUUGCACACACCGCCCGUCA